AGCAGCCGCGGUAAUUCCAGCUCCAAUAGCGUAUAUUAAAGUUGUUGCAGUUAAAAAGCUCGUAGUUGAAUUUCGGGAUCAAUACGUCGGUCGUGCUUCGGUACGUACUGGCGUCAUUGGUUUCUCCCUUCUGACGAACCAUGAUGUCAUUAAUUUGGUGUUAUGGGAAAUCAGGACUGUUACUUUGAAAAAAUUAGAGUGUUUAAAGCAGGCUCGCGCUUGAAUACAUUAGCAUGGAAUAAUAAAAUAGGACGUUUGAUUCUAUUUUGUUGGUUUCUAGGAUUGACGUAAUGAUUAAUAGGGAUAGUUGGGGGCAUUAGUAUUCAAUUGUCAGAGGUGAAAUUCUUGGAUUUAUUGAAGACUAACUACUGCGAAAGCAUUUGCCAA
rnacentral:rRNA from 1 species